UACGAGGGCCCCGAGCGUUAUCCGGAUUUAUUGGGCGUAAAGCGUUACAAGGCGGUUUGGUAAGUCUCCGGUUAAAGCUGAAAGCUCAACUUUCAGAUGGCUGGAGAAACUACCAAACUUGAGAUCGGAAGGGGCAGAUGGAAUUGCCGGUGUAGUAGUGAAAUGCGUUCAUAUCGGCAAGAACACCAAAAGCGAAAGCAGUCUGCUAGGACGAUUCUGACGCUGACUAACGAAAGCGUGGGGAGCGAAUGGG
rnacentral:rRNA from 1 species